rnacentral:rRNA from 1 species
UCAAGCUACAAAGAGCACAAGGGGAAUGCCUUGGCACCGAGAGCCGAAGAAGGACGUGACUAACUGCGAUAAGCUACGGGGAGCUGUAAGUGAGCGUUAUAUCCGUAGAUUUCCGAAUGGAGCAAUCCGAUUAGAGGAAAGUCUAAUCAUCAUAUACUGAAUACAUAGGUAUAUGAGGGGAACCGCCUGAACUGAAACAUCUAAGUAGGGCGAGGAAGAGAAAUCAACUGAGAUUCCGUAAGUAGUGGCGAGCGAACGCGGAAGAGGCCAAACCUAAUGUAGUAAUAUGUUAGGGGUUCGGACAGUAAAAUGAAUUGUCGAGAUUUAGCCGAAUGUCAUGGGAAGGGCAAUCAAAGAAGGUGAAAAUCCUGUAGGCGAAAAGUUAAGACAUCAGACUGUAUCCAGAGUACCGCCGGACACGUGAAACCCGGUGGGAAUACGGGGGGACCAUCCUCCAAGCCUAAAUACUACUCGGUGACCGAUAGAGAAGAAGUACUGUGAAGGAAAGGUGAAAAGCACCCCGGAAGGGGAGUGAAAGAGAACCUGAAACCUUGUGUUUACAAGCACCGAAAGUUCAUCAACGAACGAUCGGGUACCUUUUGUAGAAUGGUCCGGCGAGUGAAUGUAACUGGCAAGGUUAAGCACUUAAGGUGUGAAGCCGUAGCGAGAGCGAGUCUGAAAAGGGCGCAUGAAGUCAGUUGUAUUCGACCCGAAACCGGGUGACCUACCCAUGUCCAGGCUGAAGUGCAGGUAAAACUUCAUGGAGGGCCGAACCGACUCCCGUUGAAAUGGUAGCGGAUGAGGUGUGGGUAGCGGAGAAAUUCCAAUCGAACCCGGAGAUAGCUGGUUCUCUCCGAAAUAGCUUUAGGGCUAGCCUUGGAAUAGAUUACUGGAGGUAAAGCACUGAAUUGGCUAGGGGCCGAGAGGUUACUGAACCUUAUCAAACUAAGAAUGCCAGAUAAUCGUUUUCCAGGAGUCAGACAGUGGGAGAUAAGUUUCAUUGUCAAAAGGGAAACAGCCCAGACCUACAGCUAAGGUCCCAAAGUAUAGUUAAGUGGAAAAGGAUGUGGAAUUGCAUAGACAACCAGGAUGUUGGCUUAGAAGCAGCCACUCAUUAAAAGAGUGCGUAAUAGCUCACUGGUCGAGUGAUUCUGCGCCGAAAAUUUAACGGGGCUAAACUAUACACCGAAGCUUAGGAUACCGCAAGGUAUGGUAGGAGAGCGUUCUGUACGGAGUGAAGUCGUAGCGAAAGCGGCGGUGGACUGUACAGAAGUGAGAAUGCCGGAAUAAGUAGCGAGAAUUAAGUGAGAAUCUUAAUGGCCGAAAGUCUAAGGUUUUUGGAGGAAGGUUCGUCCGCUCCAAGUAAGUCGGGAGCUAAGGUCAGGCCGAAAGGCGUAGCCGAUGCACAAACGGUUGAUAUUCCGUUACCGUCUACAAUUUAAACAAAGGGACACAUACAAAGCGUUUAACCCGGGCGAUGGUUGACCCGGGCGCAAGGGACUGAAAUUAGAGUAGGGAAGUAAAUGUGGCGUAUGGCGAGAAAAGCUUUGUGUAUAGAAGUAGAUGCCCGUACCGCAAACCGACACAGGUGGACAGGAAGAGAAUUCUAAGGCCAGCGGGAGAAGGGUAGUUAAGGAACUCGGCAAAUUGACUCCGUAACUUCGGAAUAAGGAGUGCUCGAAAGAGCCGCAGAGAAUAGGCCCAGGCGACUGUUUAGCAAAAACACAGGUCUCUGCCAAAUCGAAAGAUGAAGUAUAGGGGCUGACACCUGCCCGGUGCCGGAAGGUUAAGAGGAGGAGUGCAAGCUCCGAAUUGAAGCCCCGGUAAACGGCGGCCGUAACUAUAACGGUCCUAAGGUAGCGAAAUUCCUUGUCAGGUAAG